rnacentral:rRNA from 1 species
CACGUAGGGGGCGAGCGUUGUCCGGAUUUAUUGGGCGUAAAGAGCUCGUAGGCGGCUCAGUAAGUCAGGUGUGAAACCUCCAGGCUCAACCUGGAGACGCCACCUGAUACUGUGCGACUAGAGUGCGGAAGGGGCAACUGGAAUUCUCGGUGUAGCGGUGAAAUGCGUAGAUAUCGAGAGGAACACCUGCGGCGAAGGCGGGUUGCUGGGCCGACACUGACGCUGAUGCGCGAAAGCCAGGGGAGCGAACGGG